AUUGAACGCUGGCGGCAUGCUUUACACAUGCAAGUCGAACGGUAACGGGCCUUCGGGUGCUGACGAGUGGCGCACGGGUGCGUAAUGCAUCGGAACGUACCCAGAGGUGGGGGAUAACGCAGCGAAAGCUGUGCUAAUACCGCAUGUGAUCUGAGGAUGAAAGCGGGGGACCGAGCAGCAAUGUUUGGCCUCGCGCCUUUGGAGCGGCCGAUGUCGGAUUAGCUAGUUGGUGGGGUAAAGGCCUACCAAGGCGACGAUCCGUAGCUGGUCUGAGAGGACGACCAGCCACACUGGGACUGAGACACGGCCCAGACUCCUACGGGAGGCAGCAGUGGGGAAUUUUGGACAAUGGGCGCAAGCCUGAUCCAGCAAUGCCGCGUGCGGGAAGAAGGCCUUCGGGUUGUAAACCGCUUUUGGCAGGAACGAAACGGUGUCCGCUAAUACCGGGCGCUAAUGACGGUACCUGCAGAAUAAGCACCGGCUAACUACGUG
rnacentral:rRNA from 1 species